rnacentral:rRNA from 1 species
AUUGAACGCUGGCGGCAGGCCUAACACAUGCAAGUCGAACGAGUGGCGGACGGGUGAGUAAUGUCUGGGAAACUGCCCGUUGGAGGGGGAUAACUACUGGAAACGGUAUCUAAUACCGCAUACCCUCUGAUGUGCCCCGAUGGGAUUAGCUUGUAGGUGAGGUAACGGCUCACCUAGGCGACGAUCCCUAGCUGGUCUGAGAGGAUGAUCAGUCACACUGGAACUGAGACACGGUCCAGACUCCUACGGGAGGCAGCAGUGGGGAAGAUUGGACAAUGGGCGAAAGCCUGAUCCAGCCAUGCCGCGUGUGUGAAGAAGGUCUUCGGAUUGUAAAGCACUUUAAGUUGGGAGGCGUUACCAACAGAAUAAGCACCGGCUAACUUCGUGCCAGCCGCCGCGGUAAUUC